rnacentral:lncRNA from 1 species
UUGCUGUUGAAUGGGCUGCAGCCUUCCUUCUCCCAUAAGUCAUCAUCUGAGCGAGCGAAUUCACCGGCAACUGGAUGAACAGUAAGUUUCUUUUCCAUUAUAUUGUUGGCAUUUGAUCUUGGCAUAGGAUUUCUUCCUCUUCCUUCCUCUUCCUUAUGCCGUAUCGUUUGGGUGUAAAGGUUGUUGUUAGAAAGAAAGAACAACAUAAAUAUAGGGGAGGUGGGUAAUUGGGUUACAGAGAAAGAACAGAACAUGACGAGGAGAAAACUGAUCGAUAUUGGAGAGAGAAAGAAUGGAGCAUUAAAAUCCUCGGCAAGAAAAUCAGAUUUUAAAAAUCAUUCUAGAUUGAUUAGGCACAUGUGGUGCGCGUGUUUUUUUUCCGCAUAAAAAAAUAUGUGCACAGGUUGUAUUCGGUAGAGAUUAGCGUAUAGAAGCUGUAUGCGUGCAGGCACCGGUUAAACAGAUGUCAGCACGUCUUUGUUGCUAUGCGGGUGACCGUGAUGGAAAAAAAAAAAUCCCCGUAGGUUGUCCCGCAUGGAGGAAAAAAAUGCGAUCAUUGCUGGUGGGAAAGUAGGAGGGCGAGGGGGAGAGGAGAUGGGCAAAAGAUGGAAGAAGAAAAGUUGGGAUAGGUAAUGGGGUGAAAAGAGAGGAAAAACAUAAGGAUGCUGCUAGCGUUCCAAAUGAAGAAGGGAGACUAUGAAUACGUAGGAGGAUUGGAGGUUUAGUUGGAGAUGUGGAAGGGGAGAGUGGGCCCUCAAUUUGAGAUGGGGAGGGCAAGAGGAAGGUCUUCCAUGGCUAGUGGCAACAAGGGUGGCAUCGGAGAAGAUUGUGGGUUCUGAACUCUCCCUGUACAGUUAUUUAAAAAAUAAAAAAAAAUGUACGGUGGCCGGGUAGCCCCCCACAUCGUCAUAAAUUGAAAAUUUUGUAGCUACAGAAAAUCCUUUCGACCAAAAAUUCCCAAACCAUGCUUCUACCAAGUUUAAGCUCUCAAAACCUCGAGGGACCAACUCACACUGCCACAAGUCGCACAAAAUCACAUAUGCUUGAGAGAAAAACCUAAUCGGAACCAAUGAAACCCCUCUAAUCUCUCUCAAGUGCUCUCCUUUCCCAAUCGGAACCUAAGAAACCCCUCUAAUCUCUCUCAAGUGCGAUCUUUGAAAAAAAAAAUGAAAUGAAAAGAAAAAGAAGCGAAAAAGCAAAAAAAGAUGAUCAUAUGUGGGGAUCGGCCUUAUCCUUAAUUUUUUUUUUCCGUCUUUCCUUUGUUUUCGUUGAUUUUUUCCUAUAUUUUCCCCCAUUUUUCCUUUAUUUUUUCCGUUCUCAGGAGUCCCAACCGGGUGGAGGCUUGGAGCGGCCGAAUAGGGAAGCUGGUUGGGGUUUUGCGUUGGGUAUUUCCUUUCUUUUUUCCAAUCGGGUGGGAGGCGGAGAGAGAGAGGAGGGGUCGGAUGGAAGCUUACCUGAAAGAGACGAGGCUGUAGAUCGCCGGAAAGCAAAGCACCUGAGGGAGAUCGGAGGGGACGACCGACGCUCGUAACGAUUGGGAGGAAGGCGACGGCGGAGACUGGUGGGAGGUGGCGGCGAGGGACGCAGGAAGGACGUCGGCGUCUUUAUCCAUGGGAAGGAAAGCACCCGAGGGAGAUUAGUAGAGGGUGAAGGCCGAUGCCGGUGACGACGGGGAGGAGGGUGAGGGCCAUCGGGAGAGGGAUUUCGUAAGGGCUUUUUGGGAAAUAAAAAUAAUAAUGUUGUAUUAAUUUGUUGGAAAAAAAAUAUAAAAGAAUAAUUUUAAAAAUAAAUUUAUUUUAUUAAAAAAUUUCUCC